rnacentral:ncRNA from 1 species
CUUAAAGGCUAGGGGUGCUUUCAUCAUGAACUACAUUGCCGUGAAAGCUGAGAAAAACCCUUUGAACCUGACCCGGUUAAUGCCGGCGUAGGAAAGCCCGAUCUUACCUGC